GCAACACACCUUCCAAAAAGUUGUGACAGGGUCAACAGAAGGCUGCAAAAACCAAAGAGGAAAAAAAAGAAAAGAAAGAGAGAGACAGCCAAGACACAGUCACCCCGUCCGACAUCAUCAACAAACAAAAACCCCACAAAGAGACGAAGCAGCCAGCCAAGCAGCCAGCCAGCCAGCCAGCCACCAUCUUAACAGGCUGCUGAAAGAGACACACACAGAGAGAACAGAGGCUAAUGCUUAUUUUUGAUCAACAGGUUGUUAAGAUGAUAGUGGACUCUGACAACCAUGACUGAGGACCUUAACCAGAAUUGAAUUACGAAAAAACAAAACAAAAAAUAAAGGACCGGACAGCAAACGUGACAGCUUGCAUAACAGCUCUUACGCAGAACACACACUUGAUCAAACUCAAAGCUGUAAUGGCCAGCUGUUAAGCGUAC
ensembl:lncRNA